rnacentral:rRNA from 1 species
UACGAGGGGGGCGAGCGUUGUUCGGAAUUAUUGGGCGUAAAGGGUGCGUAGGCGGUUUGGUAAGUCUUAUGUGAAAUCUAUGGGCUCAACUCAUAGUCUGCAUGAGAAACUGCCGGGCUUGAGUAUGGGAGAGGUGAGUGGAAUUCCUGGUGUAGCGGUGAAAUGCGUAGAUAUCAGGAGGAACACCUGUGGCGAAAGCGGCUCACUGGACCAUAACUGACGCUGAGGAACGAAAGCUAGGGGAGCAAACAGG